rnacentral:rRNA from 1 species
CGUAGUUAACCUACCCUUGGGACGGGAACAACGCCGGGAAACUGGCGAUAAUUCCAGAUAGGUGGGGGACGCUGGAAUGCCUCCUUGCCUAAAUCCUCUGGGGCCCGAGGAUGGGACUGCGGCCUAUCAGGCUGUUGGCGGUGUAACGGACCACCAAACCUACAACGGGUACGGGCGAUGGGAGUCGGAGCCCGGAGAUGGGGACUGAGUCAAGGCCCCAGGCCCUACGGGGCGCAGCAGGUACGAAAACUCCGCAAUGCGCGAAAGCGUGACGGGGGAACCCCAAGUGCCGUUGGUCUUUGAUCGACGGCUUUUAGGGAGUCUAAGAAGCUCCCAGAAUAAGGGCUGGGCAAGUCGGGUGCCAGCCGCCGCGGUAAUACCCGCAGCCCAAGUAGUGGUCGCGAUUAUUGGGCCUAAAGCGCUCGUAGCCGGGUCAGCAAGUCCCUUGUGAAAUCGGGCGGCCUAACCGUUCGGCUUGCAAGGGAUACUGUUGGUCUUGAGGCCGGGAGACGUCUGAGGUACUCCGGGGGUAGCGGUAAAAUGCUGUAAUCCUCGGGGGACACCAGUGGCGAAGGCGUCAGACGAGAACGGACCUGACGGUGAGGGGCGAAGGCUAGGGGAGCGAACGGGAUUAGAUACCCCGGUAGUCCUAGCUGU